GGGGUUGUGGCUCAGUGGCAGAGCACUCGCCUAGCAUGUGUGAGGCACUGGGUUGGUUCCAUCCUCAGUACCA
rnacentral:tRNA from 1 species